rnacentral:rRNA from 1 species
CAUGCAAGUCGAACGCAGUAGCAAUACUGAGUGGCAAACGGGUGAGUAUAAUGUGGGAAUCUACCUUUUGGUUUGGAAUAACACGGGGAAACUUGUGCUAAUACCAAAUAAGCCCUUACGGGGAAAGUUUUAACGCCGAAAGAUGAGCCCGCACUUGAUUAGCUAGUUGGUAAGGUAAAAGCUUACCAAGGCAACGAUCAAUAGCUGUUCUUAGAGGAAGACCAGCCACAUUGGGACUGAGACACGGCCCAGACUCCUACGGGAGGCAGCAGUGGGGAAUCUUGCACAAUGGGGGAAACCCUGAUGCAGCGAUGCCGCGUGAGUGAAGAAGGCCCUUGGGUUGUAAAACUCUUUCGUCGGGGAAGAAAAUGACUGUACCCGAAUAAGAAGGUCCGGCUAACUUCGUGCCAGCAGCCGCGGUAAUACGAAGGGACCUAGCGUAGUUCGGAAUUACUGGGCUUAAAGAGCUCGUAGGUGGUUAAAAAAGUUGAUGGUGAAAUCCCAAGGCUCAACCUUGGAACUGCCAUCAAAACUUUUUAGCUAGAGUGUGAUAGAGGUAAGUGGAAUUUCUAGUGUAGAGGUGAAAUUCGUAGAUAUUAG